rnacentral:tRNA from 1 species
GCCUCAGUAGUAUAAAAAUUACUUUGGUCUUGUAAACCAAAUAUGAGGUAUUAAUCCCCCUGAGGCA